AUGGCUCAUAGCAGGUCCAUGGAAACCACUCCAUCUGCACCUGAAAUUCGAAUGGGGCGGCCGCAGGAAGCACAGCCGAGCGCCCAGCCCGGCUCUGGAGCAGCCCCGGAACUCUCUGCCUCAGCGCGGCUUCACCGCCCCGCCCGCGCGGGGUCACGCGCGCUGUUCUCGCCAAUAGGCAGCGGCGGCUGGAGCGCGUGGGUCUCGCGGGAGCGCGGGCCGGUAUUUAAUGGCCGGCGAGGGGCGGCUCAGCCUUUCUGUUCGCCGGCCGAGGGCGUGUGUGUGCCGAGUGCCGGCGAGCCCUUGACAUGCUCCCGAUGGGCAGGAGGCCAAGCGCGGCAGGCCGGGGCAGGGGGAAGCGCUGGCGAUCUGCGCUCAGCCUUUGUACCCCCAUGGGUGAGGGGCACACCGAGAUCAUCACUCCUCCUACAGCCUGGGGCUGGAAUGAAGACAAUGUGUGCCAGGAACUGACAUUAAACAUCAGUUUUAUGAUUUCCUGAGUGGGUGAUUUCUGACUUCAUACAAGAUGAUUCCAGUUGUCAUCUCUAAGUAUUGUCUUGGAAGUAGAAUUGAGACAAGCAAUGGCUUAAAUUAUGUGUUCAAUGAUGAUGUUGAAACAGGCAUCUUACCAUUUGUUGGAACAGGUUUCCUAACAAAAACUGCUGUAAUUUGACUGUUUGUGGAUUAAUUGAAAUAAAUUAUGAGUAUUAAUUAAAUGUAUGCUACUAAAA